rnacentral:rRNA from 1 species
UACGUAGGGUGCAAGCGUUGUCCGGAAUUAUUGGGCGUAAAGGGCUCGUAGGCGGUCCAUCGCGUCGGGAGUGAAAAGCUGGGGCUUAACCCCAGUCCUGCUUCCGAUACGGGUGGACUAGAGGUAGGUAGGGGAGAUCGGAAUUCCUGGUGUAGCGGUGAAAUGCGCAGAUAUUAGGAGGAACACCGGUGGCGAAGGCGCCGCUCUGGGCCGAAACUGACGCUGAGGAGCGAAAGCAUGGGUAGCAAACAGG